CCAAGCCGCCGCCGCGGCAGGGGAGCACGGCCCGGGUCUCGGCGGGCUUUGGAGCCGGCGUCGGAGAAGGAAUAUGGAAGCGUGGCAGGUUCAAAGGAAUGGAUGGGUGGAGAGGACCAGGGCGAAAUACGGAGGCUGUCCCGCAGUCGGCACGCUUCCCAAAACGGCUUCCCUUCUGCAGGACGCCGCCAGCCUCCCCGGGCCUGAGCCGCAGUCAGGAUGCGAUCGUCCCACCGAACUCGCCGCCCUCCGCAAGGAGCCGACGCCUGAUCCCGCGCGUCCGUCUCCGACCGAAACACACUCGAGUUAAACAGAUAAAGCUGGAAAGUACCCUGGCGCACUGGAUGCAAAGACAGAGGAAGGUGCAACAGUGGCUUGUGGAGCUGCAGGCCCCGCGUUCUUCAUGGCCAUCCCUGUGAAAACUGAACCUGCAGCGAGAAGCUCCUGUGAUUGCUCCUGUCCCACGGCCAGGUGCUUGGUGGCUUGAACGUCUCCUAUCUAUCAAAAACCUGAAUUCCAGUCUGAGGAUCAUAUUCAAACCCCCUGCUUUUCAGCUAGAAUCACAG